UAAAACAAGAAGGUAAGAAAGAAGCUGCACAACUUGUUUUAGGAGCCCGCAAAAAUGCCAAAGACGUGCAAGAGAAACUAGACCGUGGGAACAAAUUUAAAGACGUUCAAAAUUACUCGCCCGAUAAAGCUUUGACUUUAAAAAUAAGUCGAUACCUACAACGCAAAGACACGUACUUCUACGACCCGAGAGAAGACUGACGUAGUUCCGAACACCGAUUGCAAACACUCGUAGUUCUAAGGCCUUCAGCAAGACUCACGUACUUCUUGGUUAAAGAGAUAGGAACUACGUGAGUCUUGCCGAAGGCCUCAGAACUAUGUGUUUCAAAUCGGUGCUUGGAACUACGUCAGUCUUUCCUCGGGUCGUAGUAGUACGUGUCUUUGUGUUGUAGGUAUCGAAGUCUCGGUCUUAGUCAAGAAAAGUACACGUCUAUGCGCAUGGGAAUGGUAUCUAAAGGCCUGCCUGACAUGUACCCUACCCGAGCUAAAAUUGAUGAAGCAGAGGCGAGGUGUUUGUCACACCCAUCAGUUCUGAGUGUCUCUGAAUCUUGUGCCGAAGUUACUCUGCAAGGAUUGCUAGACCACACGGCUGCACGUUUAGUGUACAUGCUUGAGGAUGAAGCAGGGUCACACAGGAAUCCAGCUUACAACUUGAGUGUUUUGUGACAUAGAUAUGCAUGCUAAUGCAAAUGACACACACAGUGCUUUGGUAAUUUUUACUUUUUUUCAAUUGGGUAGGGGAAGAGCCGAUAAGGCUAAAACUAACUUCAAAAUGGGGUUUUGAUGCGAGCAGCAGGCAUGUUACAUUUAAACAAAAGUCAACAGAGAGGACAUCCGAAGGCAGUGUUGUUUUAACGAGCUUUGUUCCUCUAGAGUUAUCAUUGGUACGUGUAAAAUUAGCAUUACUAUUCUAAAGGAAAAAAUUCUGCCUUUUUCUGGUUGUGAUUUACAGACACAGGUCGAGAAGACACAGAUCUUAUGGAUGAAUAUUGCACCCUCCUCAACUAGGUUUUGCCGACCAAUUAGUUUUCAUUUCCAAAAGGAAACCGAUGAUUUUAUUGCUGAAAACUAUGAGAAGAUAGAAGCUGCAAUUCAGGCGUUGAAGGACACAAAAGUGGGAGACUAUAUUUUCAUUUCCCAUCAGCUAGUUCCAUCCAUGUUCGACGGUAAAAUUUGCCCCGUAUUAACAGGAACCACUGCAAGUUCUAGAUGCGAGGUUUGUAAUGCAGUCCCUUGUCAGAUGAAUGAUUUAAAAGUUCUAAAAAAGUUGAAAAUUAAUGUUGAAACCUAUAGGUUUGGCCUGUCACCCCUGCACGCUCGCAUUCGGUAAUCUUUCAGUUUUUCCAGACAAAAGUAAUAUUAUAUGGCUGUCUUUAUACUCUGGUGUACGCUUAUCUUUAAGGUGCUUGGAGUUUAUCCUCAACCUAGCCUACAGGCUUGACAUUCAAACAUGGCGGGCAUGUUCGACUGAGCAUAAACAGAGCGUGGCAGAGCGAAAGAAGAUGAUUCAGGAAACCUAUAGACAAGAAAAUCGACUGCUUUUGGACUGUGUGCAGCAAGGCUUUGGCACCACUAACGAUGGGAAUACCUCCAGACGUUUUUUCGAGGAGGUCCAAAUGGCAGCAAGGGUGACAGGAGUAUGCGAAAAGUUGAUAGAGCGUUCAUCGCGUAUAUUGAAAGUUUUAUCCUGUGGGCGUAUCAUCAGUGUCACAGCUUUUAGAAAGUACUCUUUGGAUACUUAAACAUACUACAUAAAGAAGUAUCCUUGGUUUUACAUGCCUCAGGCAGUUCACAAGAUCCUGUUUCAUGGGGCGGACAUUAUCGCAGCUUCAGCACUGGCUCCAGGAAAGCUGUCAGAUGAGGCACAGGAAAGUCGAAAUGAAGAUGUUCGGAAGUUCAGAGAUGCUUUCACAAGAAAAUGCAAUUCUGUCGCAACUAAUUCGGACCUACUGAAAAAACUUCUCGUGACAUCAGACCAUGUCAUCAGCUCUUUCAGCGUACCCCGGACAAAACGUUUGUCAUUAGUGAGAAAAUGAAGUCUUUGUUAGUCGACCAAGAAGAUAAUGAUGAAGAUGAUGAUUGAGAUAAUAAUGAAGACGACUGACAACGUUUUUUGUUAUCAUUUUUAAGUUUUUUUUAUUUCUGUUUAUGGGGCAGUUACUGUGCAUAUUUUAUUUAAAUUGAAGUUGUUCCAUGAAUUUGUAUUUAUUUUUAUAGCAACAAUUCAAGUAUAUUUUGAUGAAUUUAUUUUAUGUUAAUUGAUUCGUUUGUUCUAAACAAGGUAUUUAAUGGGAAUCUACUAUCUUUAUAUCAGGAUAUAUGUUCCUUCGUUUUGAAGAUGUAGUUCUAUACGAAUACACUUUACUUACGAG